rnacentral:rRNA from 1 species
AACGAACGCUGGCGGCAUGCCUAACACAUGCAAGUCGAACGAUUGCCUUCGGGUGAUAGUGGCGCACGGGUGCGUAACGCGUGGGAAUCUGCCCUUAGGUUCGGAAUAACAGCUGGAAACGGCUGCUAAUACCGGAUGAUAUCGCGAGAUCAAAGAUUUAUCGCCUGAGGAUGAGCCCGCGUUGGAUUAGGUAGUUGGUGGGGUAAAGGCCUACCAAGCCGACGAUCCAUAGCUGGUCUGAGAGGAGGAUCAGCCACACUGGGACUGAGCGCCGGCCCAGACUCCUGCGGGAGGCAGAGGGGGGGAAUAUGGGACAGGGGGGGCAGGCUUGACCCAGCAUUGCGGGGGGAGGAAUGAAGCCCGGAGGGUGGAAAAGCUUUUUUACCGGGAAAGAAAAUGACUGUCCCGGGAAAAAAAGCCCCGGCUAACUCCGUG